AACGAACGCUGGCGGCGUGCCUAACACAUGCAAGUCGAACGGAAUUUGAGAGCUUGCCCUUAAAUUUAGUGGCGCACGGGUGAGUAACGCGUAGAUAAUCUGCCUGACGAUCUGGGAUAACACUUCGAAAGAGGUGCUAAUCCCGGAUAAGCCCACGGAGUCUUUGGAUUCUGCGGGAAAAGGGGGGGACCUUCAGGCCUUCUGUCGUCAGAUGAGUCUGCGUACCAUUAGCUAGUAGGUAGGGUAAUGGCCUACCAAGGCGACGAUGGUUAGCUGGUCUGAGAGGAUGAUCAGCCACACUGGAUCUGAGACACGGUCCAGACUCCUACGGGAGGCAGCAGUGGGGAAUUUUGCGCAAUGGGCGAAAGCCUGACGCAGCAACGCCGCGUGAGUUAUGAAGACUUUCGGGUCGUAAAGCUCUGUCGAGGGGAAAGAAGUGUACUUUGGCUAAUAUCCAUUGUACUUGACGGUACCCCUAGAGGAAGCACCGGCUAACUCCGUGCCAGAAGCCGCAGUAACAC
rnacentral:rRNA from 1 species